GGAAUCCAAGAAAUCUGAAUUCUAGCCUUGAUUUUGGUACCAGAUAGAUGUGUGAUUUUGUUCAGGGCAUUUGAUCUUUCCAGGGUUUGGAUCUUUUCUCUUUCAACUGUGGGGGUGUGGAGUGUGGGGGUGGUGAAGGGUGGAGUAGUAAAUCCAGGUGAGUCCCUUCUAGCUCUAAGCUGCCAUGCUUCCUCUGAUGUUCUUUAGCCACGAAAGAAAUGUCAACAUCCCAAAGUAUCUGCAGAUGAUUAUAAGUCGCUCCAGCUGCUCCUCACUUUGCAUGUUGGCAGCACUACAACUAAAGAAGCCUUUGUGCCACGAGAUGAGUAAGAGAUUGGGAUCCAUCUACACUGCAAGCAGACUGGCUUUGCUUCUCUCUGCCACACGCCCUCAGAACACUGUAUUUCAUAUAAAAGCUGCGCUGUAUCAUGAUCAUCUGUGAUGGAUUAUUUCACUUUACGAAUCGUUUCUCCACCACUGGUGAGUCUUUAGAGUAUACUCUAAAAAAUUAAAUUUGUGCCUGUACUGAAAAUGGUAUUUGCAGAGGAUCAUAUGUUAGUUUUUAAACUACUAUACUUAAAUAUAUUAUGUGAUAAUAGUGUUAUUUAAAUUACUAUAUCUGAUGCAAGCAAUAUUUUAAAAAAUAGAUUAUAUGUAGAGUAGUGAAAUUAAGAUAUAUUUGAGUAUAUUAGAAUGAUUUUCAGAAAAUCUAGUAGGGUCUUAUUCCAGAAAAUUCUGGGCAACUACAGAAGUAGGAAUUAUGUGUGUCCCAUGACAUACAAAUCAACUGACACUUUUGAUUCUUCUUCCUUAUUUACCUGUCAGCAUCUUUUCACCCUAAGGAUUUCUCUCCCUCUUGUCAUAUGGCUCUUGUAAUAUAAGUCCCUGGUGGUUUUUUCUUUAUCUCUUUGGCUGCUUCUUCUAAGUCUUUUUUCCCUUUUCCUUCUAGCCAACCUAUAAAUGAUGAUAUCCUUCCAUAUCUACAGCCCAGACAUCUCUACUGAACUUUUUUGUAGAUAUUUAAGUCAACAUCUCCAUCUGCACUUGAACGACUGAUUUAUCCUUUCCCUCCUUCAAAGACAAAAACAGGCCAUGAUAUCUAUGCUCCUCAGGCAAUGUUCCCUAUAUUUGAUGAUAAUACCAAUAGCCAUUCCAUUGCUUAAAAUAGGAAUGAGGAAGUCAUCCUUGCAUAUUUUUUUUUUACCUUGUCUCAUAAUCAAUCACCAAUAACUGUAUACUCUACCCUUCAAACAUU
rnacentral:lncRNA from 1 species